rnacentral:misc_RNA from 1 species
AGCAGCCGCGGUAAUUCCAGCUCCAAUAGCGUAUAUUAAAGUUGUUGCAGUUAAAAGCUCGUAGUUGAAUUUCGGGGUUAGUAGGUUGGUCAUGCCUCUGGUAUGUACUGGUCUCACUGAUUCCUCCUUCCUGAUGAACCUUAAUGCCAUUAAUUUGGUGUUUUGGGGAAUUUGGACUGUUACUUUGAAAAAUUAGAGUGUUUAAAGCAAGCUAACGCUUGAAUACAUUAGCAUGGAAUAAUGAAAUAGGACGUUCGAUCCUAUUUUGUUGGUUUCUAGGAUUGACGUAAUGAUUAAUAGGGAUAGUUGGGGGCAUUAGUAUUCAAUUGUCAGAGGUGAAAUUCUUGGAUUUAUUGAAGACUAACUACUGCGAAAGCAUUUGCCAAGGAUGCUUUUCAUUAAUCAAGAACGAAAGUUAGGGAUCGAAGACGAUCAGAUACCGUCGUAGUCUUAACCAUAAACUAUGCCGACUAGGGAUCGGAUGGAUGUUAAUUUUUAAUGUACUCAUUCGGCGCCUUAC